GACGUUACCCUGCCAUAAUGUGAUGUGUUUCCAGUGCCAAUAAAAAGUAACCCAUCCAAUGGUAUUUAACAUCCAAAAACCCGUCAUCAGUUCGGAUUGCAGGCUGCAACUCGCCUGCAUGAAGACGGAAUCGCUAGUAAUCGCCGGUCAGCCAUACGGCGGUGAAUUCGUUCUCGGGCCUUGUAC
rnacentral:ncRNA from 1 species